rnacentral:rRNA from 1 species
UUCCGGUUGAUCCUGCCGGAGGUCAUUGCUAUCGGGGUCCGAUUUAGCCAUGCUAGUCGCACGGGUUCAGACCCGUGUUAAAAGCUCAGUGACACGUGGCCAAGCUACCCCGUGGAUCUGGACAACCUCGGGAAACUGAGGCUAAUCCCGAAUAGGGCUCACAGCCUGGAGUGGCGUGAGUCCGAAACGCUCCAGCGCCACAGGAUGUGGCUGCGGCCGAUUAGGUUGACGGGGGGGUAACGGCCCACCGUGCCCAUAAUCGGUACGGGUUGUGAGAGCAAGAGCCCGGAGACGGUAUCUGAGACAAGAUACCGGGCCCUACGGGGCGCAGCAGGCGCGAAACCUUUACACUGCGCGAGAGCGCGAUAAGGGGACCCCGAGUGCGAGGGCAUAUAGUCCUCGCUUUUCUGGACUGUAGGGAGGUCCAAGAAUAAGGGCUGGGCAAGACCGGUGCCAGCCGCCGCGGUAAUACCGGCAGCCCGAGUGAUGGCCGAUUUUAU